CUUAUCUAUCAUUCUUGAUUAUGUUUGUAAAUAUAUAAAUUUUUCAAACUUCAUUCUUCAUAUCUUUUGGUUCAAUGAGUAAUCUACAGAAUUGGCUCAUGUUUCGAUGGCAGUUAUUAAAGCUUCAAUUUGAUUGAGCUUACUUCUAAUAACAUAAUUUUAGUGAGUUCAUGAAGCUAUAUAUCCAUGUAAUUGAUCUUAUAGUACUUUUAUUCAAAUUUAUCACAGUAAGUUCACGAAACAAUCUAUCUGUCUAUUUCUUUUCCAAGGUUCACACGAAAAAGAUAACUUGAGUGUGGGAAAGGAGCUUCAGGAUGAGUUAGAUGUGCUUAUUGAAUGUAGGGAUGUCUACAAAGUAUUUGGAGGAAAGCAUGUCGUAAGAGAUGUGAACUUCAAGCUCUACACCCAUAUGUGCUACUCAAACUUCAAUGUUGCUAUCCGCUCUAUCAUAAACAUAGAUACAAAUGUAGUCACUGUUGAGAAUUCAAAGUCAGUCAAGAAGCUUUGUUCAAUUUUUUGUGAGAUAGUGAGGCAUUGGUUUCUAUUGGUCUGGUGCACAAUUUUUGUUGUCUUUUAGAGUGUGAUAAUGGAUGGUUUAUGCAAAAAUGUCACAACUGCAGUACCAAUGGAGUACUCUCUACUCCGUCUCUUCUUCAUCCUCUACCUCUUGAUUAUAGCUUACAGAGGCACUUAUUAUUUUGGUCGCAAUUCAGAGCUUGUAAUUGAUGCAAUUAUAAGUAAUUUGCAAUUCAAGAAGAAAUAUAAAGAAGAUAUUAUCUUUGAAUCUUCACUUAAACAC